rnacentral:misc_RNA from 1 species
UUCCCCAAAGACAGCCCCACGUAAACCGGAAAUACGGCGCCCGGAGACUCCGUCGAUGAAUUCAGAGGAGUCAGUGACGACGACGACAACAACGUGCCUGGAGAGCGGGCUGGGAUAUCAGUACGGGAAUGGAGGAGAGAAAAANNNNNNNNUAGGAAGAUAAAAAGUAGUGUUUUGCUUAAUUUUGUGAAUCUGACAUCCCCGUCAUGGGAGUUGGUCCUUUUUGAUAAUUUUUGGUUAGUUUUCCCCCGGAAUUGGAUUAUUCUCCGGCG